GACGUAGGGGGCAAGCGUUGUUCGGAAUUACUGGGCGUAAAGCGCACGUAGGCGGAUAUUUAAGUCAGGGGUGAAAUCCCGGGGCUCAACCCCGGAACUGCCUUUGAUACUGGGUAUCUCGAGUCCGAGAGAGGUGAGUGGAAUUCCGAGUGUAGAGGUGAAAUUCGUAGAUAUUCGGAGGAACACCAGUGGCGAAGGCGGCUCACUGGCUCGGUACUGACGCUGAGGUGCGAAAGCGUGGGGAGCAAACAGG
rnacentral:rRNA from 1 species